AAUCCAGUUGCCAGCGAAGGUACUAUUAGUAAUGUGCUUGAAUCAAUAUCAUUUAACUUUCUAAGCACAACUAGUUUACGCACCUUGGGAAGAAACAGCAGUAAUUGUUGUCAUUCAGUGCUCCCAGUGCUGUCGCAGACCCAUGCUGUGGGAACAGCUGUUCCCAAAUCAUGGGUCAAGCCUGGUUUUGGUGGAAAGCAUGGAAUCAAGACUUGGAAAAUUGGGGAAAUGAUUGCAGGGAUCAAAAAGAGGGGCUUGGAUCUCUGUUCCAUCAAACAAGACUUAAGGGCAGAGAAAAGAAGCAGGUCUACUGCUUGCUUCUGGACUGUAUGUGAGAUUUAAAGCCGUCGUUGACCUGGAAGCCCAUAUGGAGCACUGCAUAUGAGUAUAUGUUUGUACUCAGUGCAAUGGAUUUCUGAAAAGCCCAUUGACUGUCUGCAUCUCCAGUGAGGAAAGGAGAACUUUCCUCUGCCUGUAAGACUCAUUUUCAGAACCGUGGCAGGUUGGGAGAUAAGGUGAGUCACAUGGAUUUCGAAUCGGAGGAGGUUUCAUUGAGA
rnacentral:lncRNA from 1 species